AUAUCAAAGUUCAGGAGGCUUGAGCUGGCAGCUUCCGCAAACCGCUACGGCUCCUUGUCUGCCGGCAUGCGAGCUAGGUCUGCUGGCUAAACCACGGAGGCUGGCUGUAGUGAGAGCCGCCGCCCACGGGAUGCAAAAUCUGGAGAUCUGUCUGGAGUGCAUCCCAUCUUUGCCCAACAGUUGCCAGACCAGCUCUGGCAACCCUGCCGCCCCAGUAUGUUAAGGAAAUAGAUGGAAGUUCUGGACAAAAAUGCUCGCAUUGGAUUAGUAUUCUACCACUGAAAACGUCACAUCCCUAAAGCUGAGUUCCUGAUUGGCCGAUGUGAUUUGCCAAAAUUUAGGAUUUUUUUCUUUUUUUUUUUUCUCUUCCCCGCUCAAGUCUCACUGCUGCUAGACCGGCGCCCCACAGAACUUCAGAUCGCCUCAAUUCACGACCAUACCAUUGACUUAACAUUGAAAAUGGCCGCCUCCACCGCAUGAAUCGUGUUCAGUGUCAACAUAGCAUUAGAAAAUCAACUUGUAGCAGAUAAAGUUGCUUAAUGUUUUUAUUUUAUCACUUACUGCAAAAGAUGUAUUAAUAUACAGAUUGUCUUUUUCAUCAUAAUCCUUAAAUAAAAAAAGAAGUGAAACAUUUGCUGUCUUAGUAUAUAUCUGGACACAUCAUAUUGAGAAGUAUAUAAUAAGUAUCGUAUCGCCAGACUGUUGCCAAUACACACCCCUAAUUUAUCCUACUGUGUAUUAUUAGCAGAGGUGGGACCAAGUCAUCAUUUUGCAAGUCCCAAGUCUUUGUCCUCAGGUCAGAGUCAAGUCCCAAGUUAUGUAUAUCAAAGUCCGAGUCAAGCCACGAGUCAGAGGUAGGAAAGUCCAAGUCGAGUCUAAAGUCGUCAAAUUCAUGACUUGAGUCUGACUCGAGUCAAAGUCAUGUGACUCGAGUCCCCACCUCUGAUUAUUAGUGAAUGUUAUUAACUAUUCUGCACACAAGUAAUUUAUGUUCAUUUAGUAUUAUCAGGUUUUGUAGUUUCAUGCUGAAAUCAAAAUGUACUAACAUUUUGCAUUGAAAAGACAAAUGUUUUCUGUCUAAAUCCGGACAACAUGCUUCUUUUUUAUUUUAAAGAAUGUAAUUAGUUUCUUAAAAUGCACUUUAAUAUAUUUUCUUUGUGGCCCCAGGGGCCCCUUGCAUAUAUAAUGUCAUUAGUUUGCAAUAUUAAACUACAAACUAUCAUUUGAAUUUUGCUCUGCAAGUGAUUUUUACAGAAAAGGCUUCAGUACGAACUUCCUCUGUGCCCCGCGAGGAAUUUAAAUCCCUGUGUUAAUAUGUACCAGAUGACACUUUUAAAAGUGUAAAAUAAAAGCCUUCAUUUAUUGAUUCUGACACACUGCGGCAGCAAAGUGAGACAAGUUCCCGCAUUAAUGGAGGACGAGAGGAGGACUUUUUUUUUUUUUUUCUUACUGAACUAAAGCUGCCGUCAUUUAUUGAUGAGGGGGCUUGAUCGAUACAUCAUACGGCGGUAAAUAAUUAAAAUGCUCGCUGAUACAUUAUGGAUGGGAUCUCCAGUCUCCAGCAACUGCUGAUUAAUUAACCAAAUGUAGUAAAUAAAUGGAAAAUUUUCAUGUUUUAUUUUGCAAAAUGAGUGAAAGGGGGAAAAGAUGAUUUGGUCCGUCAGCGCGGAGUCAGAAAGGGAUUUGAAAUAAAGCAAAAUAUUUGGAUAAAAGCUGCAAUGCAGUUAAAAACAAAGUGGAAAAUACAUGUUUUAUAUUUAAUUGGUAAAAAAAAUCUAAAGUAAAGCCAUCAAAGCAGGAAAACUACUUUCUUUCUGAGACAUAAAUGGACAAAUACAUUUUUGAUGUUACUUUUUCUGUCUAAGGUAAAGGUCACACCAGACUUCUAAAUGUUAUACCUUCGACCUCCUCAUCCGAGAUCUGAGCUGCAGUCACACUUGGGAUCCAUAUUUCCAUUGUUUUAGCCCUUCAACCCUUUUCAAAGCUGAAUUUGGAACACAAUUUCUGGCCUCGAGUCAUUUGUAUACGAGAACAAAACUCUUUUGUUGCAACAAAACCACAUUCUGAAAUUGCAUUUAAACCCAUCUGAAUAAUAUGGAUUUGGUUUCUAAUCUACAGAUUUAAAAUGAUAUGAAAGUUUAAUUGAGAAAGCAUCAAUGAAGUCUAAUAACCAUGUAAUGUAAUUGGUAGGGUCGUCAGUCUUUUUUGACAAAACUUGGGGAGGAAUUUAACACAUCUGAAAUAUAGCUGGAGUGGGACUUUAACAAAAAAAAAAAAACAUAUCUUCUGUCAGAAGAUAUAGAAGAUCUCUUUUGAAAAAAUGAACUAACGUUAUCUAAUUAGUGAUGUCCUUUAGUGCCCACUUUUUCCGGUUUCAUGUUUUAAACUUCAUUUUGAUUUCACCGACGUACCCUGGGCUCAGAGUUCACAAUUGAGCUCUCUGAAGGUCAUCCUGGGCUGUUCAGAGACGAUUCGGACCAUCCUUCUCUUUAGUCUCUCAUCAAUUUUUGCCUUGCGGCCACGCCCACCUAAUUGGCUAUUGUAAUUUUUACUUUAGGGCCAUUGUAAAUAUGUUACUAUUACUAAAGAUUUUGAUUUAUUGAUAUUAAGUUAUUUGUGGUCUUAAACAUUCUUUAUUUCUUUUUAAUAAUAAUGAGACCUAAUUAGGCAUAAGUGUCAUCUGUGCUAAGAUAACCAGCGAUUUCAGAAGGGUCAAAAUAUGGCAGACAAAUCUUGGUUUGGAGUCACUACAACCUUCCAUUCCAGAGUUAUUGUUUGAUAAUGAAUUCGUGGUACUGUUUGUGUAUCUCAUGGCCAGAAGGUCAUAGAGACUCGGAUACCACCAGCGUGUUUAGAAAGAUCGACAUAUGCAGACCGAUCACAAUUUUGAGUCUUUACGACAUUAAGAGAGGGACCAUUACUCUUGUCCAGAGUGGUAAGUAACUUGCAAGUGGGGAAUAAUCCCCCUGUCGAAGGUCGGUCUGGAUCUCAUAAUAAGGAUCAUGUUUCUCUGGAUCUUUGGAGUGUUCAAUUCUUAAGAUGUUGGGGCCUUCUGAAAUUUGGGCUUUCAGGUAUUUUUUGCAUCUUUCUAGAAGCCGGAGAGGCUCCAGCACUGUCAUCACCCUCUGCCUCACUCAAGGCCACAACAGUGAUGGCAGGCAGUCCCAUUGGCAGAUCAUCUUGAUUUAGUGCUUAACAUCAACCCUGAUAGAACAAGGCGAAAGGCAUGAAUGUCGUGCCUCUCUGACAAAGUCUGGACUGUGACUGGAGCAGUGGCUUGCUGUCAGAACACCUUCAUAUAAAAAGAUUUGGCCAGAUGUCCCAUUUGGUCUCACCAGUUUUCUCACUACUGAGCCCAUUGCAUUAAAACACACCGUUGGGAGAGAUUUCUGACAAUGUCUUGUACACAUGUAGCUGAGUUUGACUCCAGUAGUGACAGAGAGACUUGUCCAAUAUCCCUAAUACUACCACUGUCAGGAUGGCCAAAUUAGGGAGGUGGCUUGGCUCAGGAACCCCAACACCCAUCAGAUCUGCUGCUUUUGCUGACCCCCAUACAGCUGGUUCCAUCUUACCCUCACACAUCUCUUGCCCAAUCUACAAAUUUUAAGACAUGAACCGUUUAGAACAGCCAGUGUGUAGGAGACAUCAACAUUUGUGAUGCAUCAUUGGAUCACCAUUGGGCUUUAAUCGCUGGUUCUUUGUCACAUAUUAUUUCCAAAUGGUCACAACACUCCUUAGAGUACCUCUAAUGUCAAUGUAAUUAUUUGUGACGGUUGGGUAGACCUUGGCUCUUUUGAAUACAAAUGUGAGUUUUUAGAGCUUCUUACAAGUCAGGUUAUUUAUGUUUACUAUUCAAAAUAGUUUCUGGUUAAAUGUAUUUCUAAUGGUUGGAAGAUUUCUUUGUUGGUCCUAAAAUUUAUUGAAGAUGCUUCUUACCGUUUGUAUUCCUUCCUGGAUGUCAGUACUUGAGUACAUGUUAUUGGGAAGAGGAUCCAAUUCCUGGAGGACAUUUAACUUUUUCAAUAAAAUCAUGUGUCUUUAGCAUACAUAGCUUUGGUGUUUGCUGAACAGAAGGUUUAAAUAGUAAUUAUGAAUUCAGCUGACCCAUAGGUCUCAGUGGUGCAGUCAGAUACUACAGGACAUCCUGGGGAAAUUGCAAACAGAAUACUCCAAGAGGGUAGAUCUUUAUGGAUUUUGGGAAGUAAAAUGGCUUCAGAGCUGCCAGUGAAAUAAACGAAGUUGUUUUGCAAUACUUAUUUUUUUGUAUAAAUUUAAAAUGUUACUAAGUAUAUUGUUUUGUCUAGUUGUUUGUAAUACUGUCCAUUCUUAAGCUGUCUAUAACCUUCCUAUACAUUUUUAUCCCUUUCAAUAAUCAUCACCACAGUGCCUUUGUCUAUGGAGGACUAAAUGAGACUGUUUGAAAUCCAUAUAAACACCAUUAAACAAAUUUGUCAUUAAAUAUUUAAAAUUUGGCAUUAAAUAAAUAAAAGUGGAAAUCAAUAAAGAAAUGUUUAUAUAUGUGCAUCAUUAAAAUGUUAAAACAGCAUUUAAAUAUUUAAUAAUGCAAAAUUAUUUCAUGACUUGGUGUAGGCUGUUGGAGACGAUUUAAAAUUAAUAUAUUUAAUGUGAAACCACAAAAUAAAUGUAUAUUUAAAAUUGGCAUUAAAUAAGUAAAUGUUCAACUGUUUAAAUAUAUGUGGCAUUAAAAUAAUAAUCACAUUUAAAUAUUUAAUGAAAUAUUUAAUUAUGUCAUGGCCCCGUGUGGGCUGGUCUAAAUGAAUAUGUCAAUUAUUUAAAAUGGGCAUUAAAUAAAUGUCAUUAAAUGUGUCAAUAUUUAAUUAAAAUCAAAUUUUAAAUGAUUUAAGAAGCACUUAUGUAUUUCAUGGUUCGGGUAGUGGGCACACCAUUUCAUUAUGUUAUCGGUCUUAUCAAAAUCUGUGGGCGGGGCCGACUCGCACCGGGUGGGCGGGGCCGACUCGCACCGGGUGGGCGGGGCCGACUCGCACCGGGUGGGCGGGGCUGACUCGCACCGGGUGGGCGGGGCUGACUGGGAUCAUUGAACGGAUGAGAAUUCUCAUGUAACUCAGGAGUCUUAUAAAGUUUUUACGGUUUUAUCUGGCACCUGACAUGAAUACAUGCUGUAAACAUUGUUUUGGUGAACCGUAGAACUUUAGUAGUUUUUUUUAAUUUAGUGUCUUUUGUCCUUUAUAUGUUUAAAUCGCACAUCUGAUCUAAUGUAAUUAAAUAAAUGUAUUGAUUUCAGGUUUAAAUUGCAAUUUAAUGUUACUAAGCAUUGUUAAAUAAUAAUGUAAAUUUUUGGGUUAAUUAUCUAAUUGUUUUUUGAUAGGAAGGUCGUAGAGACAUGAGAACAAGUUCUACCCUCUGGUACCAUAAGGUGAGGAUUCCACUGAUGAAGUCCUUACAUCUAUAUGACUUCAAUUUCCCAAGAUACCCUCAUUUGUGGUGUACUUUAUGUAUCUUGGAACACCACUACACUGUAAAAAAUGACUGUUUUUCGUAGUGUUUUGUCAACUUAUAUUAUAUUUUAUCACUUAGUUUUAAAAAUAAAAAGUUGCUUGUUUUGCUAUUUAAUGUUAAUUUUAAUCAUCAAUCCUCCCAUGAUGUAUAUAAUCCUAUGUAAGGAGGUUUGAUGCUCUUUUUAAUACUUAUUUGUUUUUACUUUUAUUUUAUUAGUAACACUGCAGAAAGACAAUAAUUAAACUGUAUGUUUUUUAUUUACCAUUCUUCCUUCUUUUAUUACGACAGUCAUGUUCAGUCACGUUUUUUACUAUUAUCGCCUGUCGUUAAUGCUUUAUUAUCCUGAGUCUGGAUUUACAGUUUUAAUGCUUUCACAGGGGAUUGCUCCAAUUAAGCAGAACAAAACAUGUGACGGAACGAGGAUUCAUUUUGCUGUUCCUCCAUUAUCAGGAGCCGAUGUUGGAAUUAAAUGGAGUUAUAAAAAUAAUCAUAACAUAAACAACAUUUUUCUG